AUUGAACGCUGGCGGCAGGCCUAACACAUGCAAGUCGAGCGGAGCGGCGGACGGGUAAGUAAUGCCUAGGAAUCUGACUGGGAGUGGGGGAUAACGUCCGGAAACGGGCGCUAAUACCGCAUACUCUCAGAUGAGCCUAGGUCGGAUUAGCUAGGUGGAGGGGUAAAGGCCUACUAAGGCGACGAUCCGUAACUGGUGUGAGAGGAUGAGCAGUCACACUGGAACUUAGACACGGUCCAGACUCCUACGGGAGUCAGCAGUGGGUAAAAUUGGACAAUGGGCGAAAGCCUGAUCCAGCCAUGCCGGGUGUGUGAAGAAGUUCUUCGGAUUGUAAAGCACUUGAAGUUGGGAGGCGUUACCAACAGAAUAAGCACCGGCUAACUUCGUGCCAGCAGCCGCGGUAAUAC
rnacentral:rRNA from 1 species